rnacentral:sRNA from 1 species
AAUUUUUGGCGGAAAUUUUUUUUUCGAAAACUUUUGGUGGGACAAUUUUGGCGGGAAUUUUAUUUUGGAAUAUUUUAGGCAAAAACUAUUAAUAUUUCAUUUUGUUAACAUAAAACAAUUUCCAAAUAAGGGUAAAAUGAUCAUUAAAAAAUUAAAGAGGGUAGAAAUAAAAAUGGCAAAUAGGAAAGGGUAGAAUUGAAAAAGGGUAGUGUGCAAAGGGCAUUCUCAGCAAUUAUUCUACUUUCAGUCCCUAUAAAUACUGUAAAUAUCUAGAGUUUAUUCCAUCCUUACCAACGUUAGUUUUAAGAAAAAAAAUUAUAUUUUAUUCUAACACAAAUCAAUUGAUAUUA